rnacentral:misc_RNA from 1 species
UAUGUAAGUUGUUUCUUGCUUGUUGAAAGUAAAAUCAUGAUGAAUAAAAAUUAUGAGAGCCAUACUGUAAGAAACACACAUUCAGAAGUACAAACUUUUCUGCUUAAGUCAUACUUGUUAUAAAACAAAAAUACCACGACGUGGAAAUGCUUUCACUAUUUACAAAAUUAUACUCCAAUCCAAAUAACAGUCUACAAAAUUAACCAAGACAGCUAAUGAACGCAUGGGGAUUCCUAAAGAACCAGUGGUGAAUGCACUGCAAGAAUGGGGGUUCAAUUGACCCCUCUAUAUAUAUGUCUAUGUUACCCCUCAUUAAUUUAAUUAUUGAACUCUCUUUUUAAUAAUAUUUAAACUUCGUUGAGAUAAAAAAGCAUGUUGUUGUACAAAGGUUUAUUUACUUUUAAAACUCUAUUGUAACAAUUUCAG